rnacentral:lncRNA from 1 species
GGUCCGGGACGGUGUGUCGGGAUUCAGGGGACUCGCGGCGAGGGCGUGAACGAGGGGAGGGGACCCGCGAAGGGCAUGGCUGUCUCCCUCCUGUGUCCCCAGAAUCCUGCAGAAGGACAGCGCCAUGUCCACGUUCAGGCAGGAGGACGUUGAGGACCAUUAUGAGAUGGGAGAGGAGCUUGGCAGCGGCCAGUUCGCCAUCGUGCGCAAGUGCCAGCAGAAGGGCACCGGCAUGGAGUACGCGGCCAAGUUCAUAAAGAAGCGGCGCCUGCCGUCCAGCCGGCGCGGUGUGAGCCGUGAGGAGAUCGAGCGCGAGGUGAGCAUCCUGCGCGAGAUCCGCCACCCCAACAUCAUCACGCUGCACGAUGUGUUCGAGAACAAGACAGAUGUGGUGCUGAUCUUGGAGCUGGUGUCCGGCGGCGAACUUUUCGACUUUCUGGCUGAGAAGGAGUCACUGACAGAGGAUGAGGCCACGCAGUUCCUCAAGCAGAUCCUGGACGGUGUCCACUACCUGCACUCCAAGCGCAUCGCGCACUUUGACCUGAAGCCGGAGAACAUCAUGUUGCUGGACAAGCAUGCAGCCAGCCCACGCAUUAAGCUCAUCGACUUUGGCAUCGCGCACAGGAUCGAGGCCGGUAGCGAGUUCAAGAACAUCUUUGGCACGCCAGAGUUCGUCGCCCCUGAGAUUGUAAACUAUGAACCACUUGGCUUGGAAGCUGAUAUGUGGAGCAUCGGCGUCAUCACCUACAUCCU